GUUAUACCAGGGUUAUACCAAGGUUGACUGUGUGUUUGAAAGGGGUAACCCUCCUCGAUCUACUCUGCUUCUCAACCCAGUUAGCGAGUGCGUGACAUUCGCAUGAACUUGCAUUUUGCCUCUCAAAACUCCUGACAUUUGCCAGACCAAGAAAGAGCCAGAUUCCUGUAUUGCUCCACUGAUCCUACCUGUACAAAAAGCAUUCAGCAAAGUAAGCUUCACAUCAUCGGGUGUCCCGCUGGCCUUUGGGGACUUAAGGCUCUCGCUCUCGUCAGUUUUUUCACUCUCCAAGGACAAAGCCAUGACGGGUGCCUCCAGGUCAGCCUCAGCGGACAGUGCCCUGGGUGUUUGGCAGAACUCGUCAUCCUCAUCACUAAGGAUGUCUGUCUCCUUCACCUCUUCCGGGUCCUCGUAUUCUUCUAGGUCAAACUGUUCUUCCACCCAGCGGUCUGUGUCACCUGCUAACUCAGACUGCUGCGGCUUGUCUGGUUUGUGGUCCUGCUGCAGCCGAUUUGAGUCGGGCUCCUGUGGUGAAGCAAGGUCCUGUUCGGGCUCGCCAUCAAAAACUAUGUCUGUGUCUAUGGUGAAACGGUUGCGCACUAACUUCCUUCUGCCUAGAGUUCUGGUCGGUGCAGAUGCUGCAGAAAAACAGGUCAUCAUAAAACAUCAAAUAAAUACUUAAUUAACUUAAAAAAUACUUAAUAAGUCAACUAACUCUUUCAGGACAUUACUUUGGAUUUUGGUACCAUACCGUUAGAAUGACAAAUUUCUCACAUUUUGAGUACUAUAUGAACAAAAAUGUAAUUUGUUGAUUAAUCAACAAUGAGCAAUACUGGUGUAGAGCACAGUCAAAUUACAUAAUAAAGGUUGUCCUGUCUGGACAGGGUAUCCUACCUGCGUUGUAAAUAAAAACAAAAUAAAAAAACUUUUUAAAAUGAUUCGUAGUAUCAGUUACAAACUUAAUUGAAGUUAGCGAUGCCACGAUUGAUCAAACGCCAAUCAUUUUUGGUCAAUAUUUACUAAACAUGUGAUCAGGGGCUCGGCCUUAAUCUCUUCUAGCCGCCGAUAAACUACACACAAAGUUAAACACUCAACCGAGAGCUGCCAUUAUGGUCGGUUUUGAAAUCAGACGCGUUAUUAUUAAUCCCACUUUGUUUCUUGCAGAGCAAGCGGUCGGAGCAGAGGUGAGUUUAACCCUCGUGU